GCUCCAGGGUGGAGCGACCCUCCCCUCCUCCCUCCUGGCCCCUCGACUACACACGGGGUCUCUCCUUCCUUCCUCCUCGGGAGGAGCCCGACUGGGAGACGCCGCGGGGACUACCCAUUUCCAGCCCGCUCACCUUUCCCAUGCAGCAGCCCCUGCUUCACUCACUGAUCACUCCUUCGCGAGACCAUUAGUGACUGAGCACCUAGCGCGUGGUGUGUCAGGAGCUGGAGAUUGAGCCUUGAACGGAGCAGGCCUUGUCCACAGGAAGCUUACAGUCUGGAGAAGACAGAUGAAAGACACGAAGAAGCCAAUUGACUUGCCGAGGCUCCAGGGCAGCGCUGUCCAAUAGAAACAUGAUGAGAGCCACGUGUGUCGUUUCUUAUUUGACUCAGUGGCAGAGAUCCUUCAAUCCAGACUGUGAAGAAAACCCUUGAGUUAAGACAUUAGACAUCUGUGCAACUCAUAACUUCCAUCAUUCCAACUUGCAGUGCCUCCAUGGUCUCGGCGAUUCAGAAUACACCUACUUUUGCAAUGGGGGGAAGAUAAUUGAUAAACGACUUCAAGAGCUUGGAGCCCGGCAUUUCUAUGACACUGGACAUGCAGAUGACUGUGUAGGUUUAGAACUUGUGGUUGAGCCGUGGAUUGCUGGACUCUGGCCAGCCCUCAGAAAGCAUUUUAGGUCAAGCAGAGGACAAGAGGAGAUAAGUGGCG
rnacentral:sRNA from 1 species